rnacentral:pre_miRNA from 1 species
UAACCUCGGCAGGCUGACUGGCCCCUGGGCUGGGCUGGGCGAAUAUCUCUUCCAAAGGCUCACCCUCAAGCGCAACUAGGAGC